rnacentral:rRNA from 1 species
AUUGAACGCUGGCGGAAUGCUUUACACAUGCAAGUCGAACGGCAGCACGGACUUCGGUCUGGUGGCGAGUGGCGAACGGGUGAGUAAUACACCGGAACGUGCCCAGUCGUGGGGGAUACCGUAGCGAAAGCUACGCUAAUACCGCAUACGAUCUAAGGAUGACAGCGGGGGAUCGCAAUACCUCUCGCGAUUGGAGCGGCCGAUGGCAGAUGAGGUAGUUGGUAGGGCAAAGGCCUACCAAGCCGACGAUCUGUAGCUGGUCUGAGAGGAUGAUCAGCCACACUGGGAGUGAGACACGGCCCAGACUCCUACGGGAGGCAGCAGUGGGUAAUUGUGGACAAUGGGCGCAAGCCUGAUCCAGCCAUUCCGCGUGCAGGAUGAAGGCCUUCGGGUUGUAAACUGCUUUUGUACAGAACGAAAAGGCUCUGGUUAAUACCCGGGGCUCAUGACGGUACUGUAAGAAUAAGCACCGGCUAACUACGUGCCAGCAGCCGCAGUAA